GGCGGCAUGGCCAAGCG
rnacentral:tRNA from 1 species